rnacentral:misc_RNA from 1 species
GAUGAAGAACGCAGCGAAAUGCGAUACGUAAUGUGAAUUGCAGAAUUCAGUGAAUCAUCGAAUCUUUGAACGCAUAUUGCGCUCUCUGGUAUUCCGGAGAGCAUGCUUGUUUGAGUAUCAGUAAACACCUCAACUUCCAUAUCUUUUUUGAAAUGGGAGUUGGACUUGAGUGAUCCCAACGCUUUUCCUCACCGAAAAGUGGCGGGUUACUUGAAAUGCAGGUGCAGCUGGACUUUUCUCUGAGCUAUAAGCAUAUCUAUUUAGUCUGCCUAAAAAACAGAUUAUUACCUUUGCUGCAGCUAACAUAAAGGAGAUUAGUUCUUGUGCUGACUGAUGCAGGAUUCACAAAGACAGCUUCGGCCGACUUUGUAAACUCGAUCUCAAAUCAAGUAAGACUACCCGCUGAACUUAAGCAUAUCAAUAGCGGAGGA